CAAUAGCGUAUAUUAAAGUUGUUGCAGUUAGAACGCUCGUAGUCGGAUUUCGGGGCGUUCCGACCGGUCUGCCGAUGGGUAUGCACUGGCCGGAGUGUCCUUUUUGCCGGAGACCGUGCCUACUCUUAACUGAGCGGGGGCGGGAGACGGCACUUUUACUUUGAAAAAAUCAGAGUGUUUCAAGCAGGCAGCCCGCUCUUGCAUGGAUUAGCAUGGGAUAAUGAAAUAGGACUUUGGUGCUAUUUUGUUGGUUUCGAACACCGAAGUAAUGAUGAGAAGGGACAGUCAGGGGCACUCGUAUUCCGCAGAGAGAGGUGAAAUUCUCAGACCCGCGGAAGACGAACCACUGCGAAAGCAUUUGCCAGGGAUGUUUUCACUGA
rnacentral:rRNA from 1 species